UGUUUGAUGUUCUAACGUGGACCCGUGAUCCGGGUUGCGGACAGUGUCUGGUGGGUAGUUUGACUGGGGCGGUCUCCUCCUAAAGAGUAACGGAGGAGCACGAAGGUUGGCUAAUCCUGGUCGGACAUCAGGAGGUUAGUGCAAUGGCAUAAGCCAGCUUGACUGCGAGCGUGACGGCGCGAGCAGGUGCGAAAGCAGGUCAUAGUGAUCCGGUGGUUCUGAAUGGAAGGGCCAUCGCUCAACGGAUAAAAGGUACUCCGGGGAUAACAGGCUGAUACCGCCCAAGAGUUCAUAUCGACGGCGGUGUUUGGCACCUCGAUGUCGGCUCAUCACAUCCUGGGGCUGAAGUAGGUCCCAAGGGUAUGGCUGUUCGCCAUUUAAAGUGGUACGCGAGCUGGGUUUAGAACGUCGUGAGACAGUUCGGUCCCUAUCUGCCGUGGGCGCUGGAGAACUGAGGGGGGCUGCUCCUAGUACGAGAGGACCGGAGUGGACGCAUCACUGGUGUUCGGGUUGUCAUGCCAAUGGCACU
rnacentral:rRNA from 1 species